ACAUGGGAGGAUAUUUUUUAUUACAUUUGUUGCGACUACAAACAGUAAUUAAAAUGUGAAGUUCGAAUAAAAGACGGAAUUAUUUCGGAAAUAAAAGCUCAUAAAACGCACUUUGCAUCAUAUUUCUUAUUCGUCACUUAUUAUGACAAGUUUCUUUUGCUUCAAGUUGAUAAUCCAAAAUUGUCAAAAAAUUGUGACCCAUAAUUGUAAAGCGAAAAAAUAAAAAAAGAUUUAAUUUCCAUUAGUUUCAAUGACGUGUAUUGUGUUGUAAAUUUUACGCCUCCAGUGGGUUAGCUGCAGCAUUAUCAUGAUUUCACAAACAUAGGACAAUACAUGAAUGAAAUAAUGAUGUUCCAAAUUUGUCAAUUGUACAUCAACACUCCAUUUAAGCCCAUUAAAAAGGGUUGCACUUGACAGCUUUAUUUUCAUAAUUUACCACGCUUUUUUCCUAUAUUUACUUCAAGGGGUGGUAUUGAAUUCAGCUCUCUAUAGUCUUCCUCAAUUUCAGAGCCAGAUGUGUGCUUAGCACAUAGUUCCUUAUGUAAUACCCUCGCUAUUAAAGAUUAAAAUGAAUUUUCUUUUCUUGAGGUCAUCCUAUUUGAAGAGAGAAAGUGCAAAUUAUGUUACCUUUCCACAUCGUUAAUUCUUCCAGACUGUUUGUCCAAAACCCCAUGAUUUCAGAGCAAUUCUUGCUCUUUUCACUACAAAAAAAAUUCUGCCACAAGUAUGAUUCAUUUUACGUUAUUUUACAAACAAUUUUUUUGCUUUCAGUUAUUGCCUGAAGCGAAAUGGCACUUAACAGUACUCUAGCAAUAGACUCUGCUCCCCUUUAGUGAGCUUUCGUGAAAUAGACUUCAAACUGAUUAAGAGGUUUCCUCUAUUUCCUGACUGUACACUGUUAGUUUAUGUUUUAUAAAUUUUGAUGUCUAUUUUUCUCCGACCACGCAAAUAUCAGUCGCCUAUAAAUAACACGACACUAAGUACAUCCAGCUUCACAGUCGCCACUGCUUUGCGUGUAGACCCGAAGCUUAGCAGAUAGUACAAUGUGUCCAAGAACAUUCGUCGCAGUUUUCUUAAGCAGUUUAAUCUUUACGGCAGGAACCUCCCUGGCAGAUAGUUCAGGCGACAAAGAAGAAUCUAGUUCAUCAGGGGCCAUUGAUAAACCCUCGUCUGAUGCUAUUAACAAAAAUAUUCAAAACGCGGCUUGCUGCUGGAUGGCAGGACCUCCACCUGGCAAAAAAACAACCAUUUUUCACCGAGGUAGAAAGAUGUUUAAUCGGGAGCACCGCGCACAUUACGUUCUUAGAUUCAAGAAAUUCGAUUAAAACUAACCGCUCGUAAACGAUGCAAACAGGAUAGAGAAAAUUGAAGUCGCGGAAAGCCUCGAGAAUCUAAAAUUGACGGUUUUCCGAGGGAAUAAACUCGAUUCUAACACAAUUCUAGUAUUGCUAUAUAGAGGUAAAUAAACAUGACGUCCUGCA